UUCCGAGAAGUGGGGAAUAGCCCAGAGAAAUUUGGAUUAAUACCCCGUAACAUAACGAUGUGGCAUCACAUUGUUAUUAUAGCUUCGGCGCUUCUUGAUGGGUGUGCGGCUGAUUAGAUAGUUGGCGGGGUAACGGCCCACCAAGUCUACGAUCAGUAGCUGAUGUGAGAGCAUGAUCAGCCACACGGGCACUGAGACACGGGCCCGACUCCUACGGGAGGCAGCAGUAAGGAAUAUUGGUCAAUGGACGCAAGUCUGAACCAGCCAUGCCGCGUGAAGGAUUAAGGUCCUCUGGAUUGUAAACUUCUUUUAUCUGGGACGAAAAAAGGCGAUUCUUCGUCACUUGACGGUACCAGAUGAAUAAGCACCGGCUAACUCCGUGCCAGCAGCCGCGGUAAUACGGAGGGUGCAAGCGUUAUCCGGAUUCACUGGGUUUAAAGGGUGCGUAGGCGGGCAGGUAAGUCAGUGGUGAAAUCCUAGAGCUUAACUCUAGAACUGCCAUUGAUACUAUCUGUCUUGAAUAUUGUGGAGGUAAGCGGAAUAUGUCAUGUAGCGGUGAAAUGCUUAGAUAUGACAUAGAACACCUAUUGCGAAGGCAGCUUACUACGCAUAUAUUGACGCUGAGGCACGAAAGCGUGGGGAUCAAACAGGAUUAGAUACCCUGGUAGUCCACGCCCUAAACGAUGAUUACUCGACAUUUGUGAUACACUAUAAGUGUCUGAGCGAAAGCAUUAAGUAAUCCACCUGGGAAGUACGACCGCAAGGUUGAAACUCAAAGGAAUUGGCGGGGGUCCGCACAAGCG
rnacentral:rRNA from 1 species